rnacentral:lncRNA from 1 species
CUUCAAGAUGGCGUCUACGGUCGAUAGGUUUCUAAAGACCAGAAGGUUGAAUGCGUCGUCCGGGAUGCCUUUGAUAAUGUGCCCAACCUUAUCCGCCUCUGGCAUUGACAUGUCGAUUUUAU